rnacentral:rRNA from 1 species
AUUGAACGCUGGCGGCAUGCCUUACACAUGCAAGUCGAACGGCAGCGGACCUUCGGGUGCCGGCGAGUGGCGAACGGGUGAGUAAUGCAUCGGAACGUGCCAUUGAGUGGGGGAUAACGUAGCGAAAGUUACGCUAAUACCGCAUAUUCUGUGAGCAGGAAAGCAGGGGACCGCAAGGCCUUGCGCUCUUUGAGCGGCCGAUGUCAGAUUAGCUAGUUGGUGAGGUAAAGGCUUACCAAGGCGACGAUCUGUAGCGGGUCUGAGAGGAUGAUCCGCCACACUGGAACUGAGACACGGUCCAGACUCCUACGGGAGGUAGCAGUGGGGAAUUUUUGGACAAUGGGCGCAAGCCUGAUCCAGCCAAUGCCGCGUGAGUGAAGAAGGCCU